rnacentral:rRNA from 1 species
UACGGAGGAUGCAAGCGUUAUCCGGAAUGAUUGGGCGUAAAGCGUCCGCAGGUGGCUAUGUAAGUCUGCUGUUAAAGAGUGAGGCUCAACCUCAUAAGAGCAGUGGAAACUACAUGGCUAGAGUGCGUUCGGGGCAGAGGGAAUUCCUGGUGUAGCGGUGAAAUGCGUAGAUAUCGGGAGGAACACCAGUGGCGAAGGCGACUACCUGGCCUGUUCUUGACGCUGAGGCGCGAAAGCUAGGGGAGCAAACGGG